GACGAACGCUGGCGGCGUGCUUAACACAUGCAAGUCGAACGAUGAACCCGGAGCUUGCUCUGGGGAUUAGUGGCGAACGGGGGAGGAACACGUGAGUAACCUGCCCUUGACUCUGGGAUAAGCGUUGGAAACGACGUCUAAUACCGGAUAGGACCUUGGAUCGCAUGAUCUGGGGUGGAAAGUUUUUUCGGUCUGGGAUGGACUCGCGGCCUAUCAGCUUGUUGGUGAGGUAAUGGCUCACCAAGGCGUCGACGGGUAGCCGGCCUGAGAGGGUGACCGGCCACACUGGGACUGAGACACGGCCCAGACUCCUACGGGAGGCAGCAGUGGGGAAUAUUGCACAAUGGGCGAAAGCCUGAUGCAGCAACGCCGCGUGCGGGAUGACGGCCUUCGGGUUGUAAACCGCUUUUAGUAGGGAAGAAGGGCUUCGGCUUGACGGUACCUGCAGAAAAAGGACCGGCUAACUACGUG
rnacentral:rRNA from 1 species